rnacentral:rRNA from 1 species
AGCUUGCUCCCUGAUUCAGCGGCGGACGGGUGAGUAAUGCCUAGGAAUCUGCCUGGUAGUGGGGGACAACGUCUCGAAAGGGACGCUAAUACCGCAUACGUCCUACGGGAGAAAGCAGGGGACCUUCGGGCCUUGCGCUAUCAGAUGAGCCUAGGUCGGAUUAGCUAGUUGGUGAGGUAAUGGCUCACCAAGGCGACGAUCCGUAACUGGUCUGAGAGGAUGAUCAGUCACACUGGAACUGAGACACGGUCCAGACUCCUACGGGAGGCAGCAGUGGGGAAUAUUGGACAAUGGGCGAAAGCCUGAUCCAGCCAUGCCGCGUGUGUGAAGAAGGUCUUCGGAUUGUAAAGCACUUUAAGUUGGGAGGAAGGGCAGCUAAUUAAUACUUCGCUGUUUUGACGUUACCGACAGAAUAAGCACCGGCUAACUCUGUGCCAGCAGCCGCGGUAAUACAGAGGGUGCAAGCGUUAAUCGGAAUUACUGGGCGUAAAGCGCGCGUAGGUGGUUUGUUAAGUUGAAUGUGAAAUCCCCGGGCUCAACCUGGGAACUGCAUCCAAAACUGGCAAGCUAGAGUAGGGCAGAGGGUGGUGGAAUUUCCUGUGUAGCGGUGAAAUGCGUAGAUAUAGGAAGGAACACCAGUGGCGAAGGCGACCACCUGGGCUCAUACUGACACUGAGGUGCG